UACGUAGGGUGCGAGCGUUGUCCGGAAUUAUUGGGCGUAAAGAGCUCGUAGGCGGUGUGUCACGUCGGCCGUGAAAACCUGCAGCUUAACUGUGGGCGUGCGGUCGAUACGGGCAUCACUGGAGUUCGGCAGGGGAGACUGGAAUUCCUGGUGUAGCGGUGAAAUGCGCAGAUAUCAGGAGGAACACCAGCGGCGAAGGCGGCGCUCUGGGCCGGUACUGACGCUGAGGAGCGAAAGCGUGGGGAUCAAACAGG
rnacentral:rRNA from 1 species